rnacentral:rRNA from 1 species
UCCUGGCUCAGGAUGAACGCUGGCGGCGUGCUUAACACAUGCAAGUCGAACGAGCCUUCGGGCUAGUGGCGGACGGGUGAGUAACGCGUGAGAAUCUGCCCUUAGGAGGGGGAUAACGGCUGGAAACGGCCGCUAAUACCCCAUAUGCCGCGAGGUGAAAUGAGAAAUCGCCUGAGGAUGAGCUCGCGUCUGAUUAGCUAGUUGGUGGGGUAAGAGCCUACCAAGGCAUCGAUCAGUAGCUGGUCUGAGAGGAUGAUCAGCCACACUGGGACUGAGACACGGCCCAGACUCCUACGGGAGGCAGCAGUGGGGAAUUUUCCGCAAUGGGCGCAAGCCUGACGGAGCAACGCCGCGUGAGGGAUGAAGGCCUCUGGGCUGUAAACCUCUUUUCUCAAGGAAGAAGAACUGACGGUACUUGAGGAAUAAGCCACGGCUAAUUCCGUGCCAGCAGCCGCGGUAAUACGGGAGUGGCAAGCGUUAUCCGGAAUUAUUGGGCGUAAAGCGUCCGCAGGCGGUCUUGAAAGUCUGUUGUUAAAGCGUGGAGCUCAACUCCAUUUCAGCAAUGGAAACUAGAAGACUAGAGUGUGGUAGGGGCAGAGGGAAUUCCCGGUGUAGCGGUGAAAUGCGUAGAUAUCGGGAAGAACACCAGUGGCGAAGGCGCUCUGCUGGGCCAUAACUGACGCUCAUGGACGAAAGCCAGGGGAGCGAAAGGGAUUAGAUACCCCUGUAGUCCUGGCCGUAAACGAUGAACACUAGGUGUCGGGGGAAUCGACCCCCUCGGUGUCGUAGCCAACGCGUUAAGUGUUCCGCCUGGGGAGUACGCACGCAAGUGUGAAACUCAAAGGAAUUGACGGGGGCCCGCACAAGCGGUGGAGUAUGUGGUUUAAUUCGAUGCAACGCGAAGAACCUUACCAGGGUUUGACAUCCUGCGAAUCUUUUGGAAACAGAAGAGUGCCUUCGGGAGCGCAGAGACAGGUGGUGCAUGGCUGUCGUCAGCUCGUGUCGUGAGAUGUUGGGUUAAGUCCCGCAACGAGCGCAACCCACGUCUUUAGUUGCCAGCAUUGAGUUGGGCACUCUAGAGAGACUGCCGGUGAUAAACCGGAGGAAGGUGUGGAUGACGUCAAGUCAUCAUGCCCCUUACAUCCUGGGCUACACACGUACUACAAUGCUACGGACAGAGGGCAGCAAACUCGCGAGAGCUAGCAAAUCCCAUAAACCGUGGCUCAGUUCAGAUCGUAGGCUGCAACUCGCCUACGUGAAGGAGGAAUCGCUAGUAAUCGCAGGUCAGCAUACUGCGGUGAAUACGUUCCCGGGCCUUGUACACACCGCCCGUCACACCAUGGAAGUUGGCCAUGCCCGAAGUCGUUACUCCAACCCUUGUGGAGGAGGACGCCGAAGGUGGGGCUGAUGACU